ACAGGUACCAGCAUCUCUUGAAACAGAAGCUGCAGCUCUUGAAGAGGAUGAAGAUGAGGAGCAGAUCUAUAAUAAGGAGAAAGGCUAGGACAUCCAGGCUGUGGUACUGGUACCAGCAUCUCUUGAAACAGAAGCUGCAGCUCUUGAAGAGGAUGAAGAUGAGGAGCAGAUCUAUAACAAGGAAGAAGGCCAGGACGUCCAGG